rnacentral:rRNA from 1 species
UACGUAGGGGGCAAGCGUUGUCCGGAAUUAUUGGGCGUAAAGCGCGCGUAGGUGGUCAUGUAAGUCCGCUGUGAAAGUCAAAGGCUCAACCUUUGAAAGCCGGUGGAUACUGCAUGACUAGAGUACGGAAGAGGCGAGUGGAAUUCCUGGUGUAGCGGUGGAAUGCGCAGAUAUCAGGAGGAACACCAAUAGCGAAGGCAGCUCGCUGGGACGUUACUGACACUGAGGCACGAAAGCGUGGGGAGCAAACAGG